rnacentral:rRNA from 1 species
GACGAACGCUGGCGGCGUGCUUAACACAUGCAAGUCGAACGGAAAGGCCCUGCUUUUGUGGGGUGCUCGAGUGGCGAACGGGUGAGUAACACGUGAGUAACCUGCCCUUGACUUUGGGAUAACUUCAGGAAACUGGGGCUAAUACCGGAUAGGAGCUCCUGCUGCAUGGUGGGGGUUGGAAAGUUUCGGCGGUUGGGGAUGGACUCGCGGCUUAUCAGCUUGUUGGUGGGGUAGUGGCUUACCAAGGCUUUGACGGGUAGCCGGCCUGAGAGGGUGACCGGCCACAUGGGGGCUGAGAGAAGGCCCAGAAUCGUAGGGGAGGCAGCAGUGGUGAAUAUUGCACAAUGGGCGGAAGCCGGAUGCAGCAACGCAGCGUGCGGGAUGACGGCCUUCGGGUGGUAAACCGCUUUCGCCUGUGACGAAGCGUGAGUGACGGUAAUGGGUAAAGAAGCACCGGCUAGCUCCGUG